rnacentral:rRNA from 1 species
ACGAACGCUGGCGGCGUGCUUCACACAUGCAAGUCGAACGGAAAGACCCUGCUUUUGUGGGGUGCUCGAGUGGCGAACGGGUGAGUAACACGUGAGUAACCUGCCCUUGACUUUGGGAUAACUUCAGGAAACUGGGGCUAAUACCGGAUAGGAGCUCCUGCUGCAUGGUGGGGGUUGGAAAGUUUCGGCGGUUGGGGAUGGACUCGCGGCUUAUCAGCUUGUUGGUGGGGUAGUGGCUUACCAAGGCUUUGACGGGUAGCCGGCCUGAGAGGGUGACCGGCCACAUUGGGACUGAGAUACGGCCCAGACUCCUACGGGAGGCAGCAGUGGGGAAUAUUGCACAAUGGGCGGAAGCCUGAUGCAGCAACGCCGCGUGCGGGAUGACGGCCUUCGGGUUGUAAACCGCUUUCGCCUGUGACGAAGCGUGAGUGACGGUAAUGGGUAAAGAAGCACCGGCUAACUACGUG